CUCUCGGCCCCUUGGCGUCUCCUCGCACGUUUCCAAAUGGCAGGGCCUGGUGUCCGUGACUGGGAUGCCCACUGUGAGGGCCCGAACUGAAAAUCCCUGACACUGACAUAUGUGAAUCAUGGGCAUCUUGGAAAGGCCUCAAAACGCGGCUGAAACACUGAAAUUUCACCCUUAAUGAUCUGAGGCAAGACUGGUCGAGUUGGAAAGAGAGACUCUUUUCAAUGUGGCUGCUGAAAUGAAAGGAGGAAGUCUGCAGUUUCUUAUUGCCUCCUUAUCAUCAUGAGGAAAAAGCCAGCGCAAGAAUGGAGCAAACUGGGAGCGAAGCAGAACCAAUAGAUCACAAGCACAGAACCAAGUCCUGAUGACAUUGUUUGCGCUCCUUGAUCCAGAACUUGAUCUGCACCUAGUGACUCAUUCGUCUUGUGGCUGCCUCUGGAUUCGUGAGUAUGGUGCCUAGAAAGAAAUAACCAACAAAUCAAAGUCUAUUUCAUUGAUGCACAUGUUGGCACCCUUUGAAAGAUCCAGAAAUCCACAUGUUGAACAUGAAUCUAGGGCUGCGGUUGCUGCAAAGUCUUAUGCAGAUCCUGGAAGAUAUCAACUCCUAGGGCUAGUGCAGCAUCUUAUUCACCUUGGCAUCUACCACUGCAUGGAGCACAGCACCUAUCACCUAGUAGAAGAAGCCUGGAGGUGGAACAGUUUCCUCCAAUGUCACAGCCCAAGUCAGUCACAC